AGGUGCGAUCAUACCAGCAUUAAUGCACCAGAUCCCAUCUAAACUCCAUAGUUAAGCGUGCUUGGCCUAAAGUAGUACUGGGAUGGGUGACUUCCCAGAAAGUCCUAGUGUUUCACCCU
rfam:Picea glauca, whole genome shotgun sequence.